rnacentral:rRNA from 1 species
ACCUAAUAGAUACCCGGGUAGUCCACGCCCUAAACUAUGUCAACUAGUUGUUGGGAGAGUUAAAUCUCUUAGUAAACGCAGCUAAACGCGUGAAGUUGACCGCCUGGGGAGUACGGCCGCAAGGUUAAAACUCAAAGGAAUUGACGGGGACCCGCACAAGCGGUGGAUUAUGUGGAUUAAUUCGAUGCAACGCGAAAAACCUUACCUACCCUUGACAUGUACGGAACGGGGCAGAGACGUCCCGGUGCCCGAAAGGGAACCGUAACACAGGUGCUGCAUGGCUGUCGUCAGCUCGUGUCGUGAGAUGUUGGGUUAAGUCCCGCAACGAGCGCAACCCUUACCAUUAGUUGCUACAUUCAGUUGGGCACUCUAAUGGGACUGCCGGUGACAAACCGGAGGAGGGUGGGGAUGACGUCAAGUCCUCAUGGCCCUUAUGGGUAGGGCUUCACACGUAAUACAAUGGCCGGUACAGAGGGUUGCCAACCCGGCGAGGGGGUAGCCAAUCCCAGAAAGCCGGUCGUAGUCCGGAUUGUUCUCUGCAACUCGAGAGCAUGAAGUCGGAAUCGCUAGUAA